rnacentral:tRNA from 1 species
UCCCUUGUAGCUCAGUUGGUAAAGAAUCUGCCUGCAAUGCAGGAGACCCAGGUUCAAUUCCUGGGUCAGGAA